GUAGGGAAUAUUGGGCAAUGGUCGGAAGACUGACCCAGCCAUGCCGCGUGCAGGAAGACGGCCCUCUGGGUUGUAAACUGCUUUUAUCUGGGAAGAAAAAGGCCAUGCGUGGCAAAUUGCCGGUACCAGAUGAAUAAGCACCGGCUAACUCCGUGCCAGCAGCCGCGGUAAUACGGAGGGUGCAAGCGUUGUCCGGAUUUAUUGGGUUUAAAGGGUGCGUAGGCGGCUGAUUAAGUCAGCGGUGAAAGACUCCGGCUUAACCGGAGCAGUGCCGUUGAUACUGGUGAGCUUGAGUGUUGGAGGGGUACAUGGAAUUGAUGGUGUAGCGGUGAAAUGCAUAGAUACCAUCAGGAACACCGAUAGCGAAGGCAUUGUACUGGCCAACAACUGACGCUGAUGCACGAAAGUGUGGGGAUCGAACAGGAUUAGAUACCCGUGUAGUCC
rnacentral:rRNA from 1 species